GGAAUUUUGUUGGUGGACUGCGAAUUGUUGAUAGCAUCAAAAAGCCGCUUAGGCUAUUUUGCUAUAAUAGAUCGGCAGUCCUGUAUGCUAAUAACACAGUAGUUUGACGAAAGCAAAACAUAUGGACGUCAAAUUUCGGGUUGAAAAAGAAAGAGUACAAAAUGGACAAUUGUGCAUUGAGUACAUUAGUACAAACUCCAUGCUUG
rnacentral:lncRNA from 1 species